rnacentral:rRNA from 1 species
CCGGCUAACUACGUGCCAGCAGCCGCGGUAAUACGUAGGGUGCGAGCGUUAAUCGGAAUUGCUGGGCGUAAAGCGUGCGCAGGCGGUUCGUUAAGACAGAUGUGAAAUCCCCGGGCUUAACCUGGGAACUGCAUUUGUGACUGGCGAGCUAGAGUAUGGCAGAGGGGGGUAGAAUUCCACGUGUAGCAGUGAAAUGCGUAGAGAUGUGGAGGAAUACCGAUGGCGAAGGCAGCCCCCUGGGCCAAUACUGACGCUCAUGCACGAAAGCGUGGGGAGCAAACAGGAUUAGAUACCCUGGUAGUCCACGCCCUAAACGAUGUCAACUAGUUGUUGGGUCUUCAUUGACUUAGUAACGUAGCUAACGCGUGAAGUUGACCGCCUGGGGAGUACGGUCGCAAGAUUAAAACUCAAAGGAAUUGACGGGGACCCGCACAAGCGGUGGAUGAUGUGGAUUAAUUCGAUGCAACGCGAAAAACCUUACCUACCCUUGACAUGGUCGGAACCCUGCUGAAAGGUGGGGGUGCUCGAAAGAGAACCGAAACACAGGUGCUGCA